rnacentral:rRNA from 1 species
AUUGAACGCUGGCGGCAUGCUUUACACAUGCAAGUCGAACGGUAACAGGCCGCAAGGUGCUGACGAGUGGCGAACGGGUGAGUAAUGCAUCGGAACGUGCCCAGUCGUGGGGGAUAACGCAGCGAAAGCUGUGCUAAUACCGCAUACGGUCUGUGGAUGAAAGCGGGGGACCGUAAGGCCUCGCGCGAUUGGAGCGGCCGAUGUCAGAUAGGUAGUUGGUGGGGUAAAGGCUCACCAAGCCGACGAUCUGUAGCUGGUCUGAGAGGACGACCAGCCACACUGGGACUGAGACACGGCCCAGACUCCUACGGGAGGCAGCAGUGGGGAAUUUUGGACAAUGGGCGCAAGCCUGAUCCAGCAAUGCCGCGUGCAGGAAGAAGGCCUUCGGGUUGUAAACUGCUUUUGUACGGAGCGAAAAGGCUCUCUCUAAUACAGGGGGCUCAUGACGGUACUGUAAGAAUAAGCACCGGCUAACUACGUGCCAGCCGCCGCCGUAAGAC